rnacentral:rRNA from 2 species
GAAGGUGGCCUGUGAGGGUUGCUGGAGGUAUCAGAAGUGCGAAUGCUGACAUAAGUAACGAUAAAGCGGGUGAAAAGCCCGCUCGCCGGAAGACCAAGGGUUCCUGUCCAACGUUAAUCGGGGCAGGGUGAGUCGACCCCUAAGGCGAGGCCGAAAGGCGUAGUCGAUGGGAAACGGGUUAAUAUUCCCGUACUUGGUGUUACUGCGAAGGGGGGACGGAGAAGGCUAUGUUGGCCGGGCGACGGUUGUCCCGGUUUAAGCGUGUAGGUGUGUGUUCCAGGUAAAUCCGGUUCACUUUAACACUGAGGCGUGACGACGAGGCACUACGGUGCUGAAGCAACAAAUGCCCUGCUUCCAGGAAAAGCCUCUAAGCAUCAGGUAACAUCAAAUCGUACCCCAAACCGACACAGGUGGUCAGGUAGAGAAUACCAAGGCGCUUGAGAGAACUCGGGUGAAGGAACUAGGCAAAAUGGUGCCGUAACUUCGGGAGAAGGCACGCUGACACGUAGGUGAAGUGAUUUACUCAUGGAGCUGAAGUCAGUCGAAGAUACCAGCUGGCUGCAACUGUUUAUUAAAAACACAGCACUGUGCAAACACGAAAGUGGACGUAUACGGUGUGACGCCUGCCCGGUGCCGGAAGGUUAAUUGAUGGGGUCAGCGCAAGCGAAGCUCCUGAUCGAAGCCCCGGUAAACGGCGGCCGUAACUAUAACGGUCCUAAGGUAGCGAAAUUCCUUGUCGGGUAAGUUCCGACCUGCACGAAUGGCGUAAUGAUGGCCAGGCUGUCUCCACCCGAGACUCAGUGAAAUUGAACUCGCUGUGAAGAUGCAGUGUACCCGCGGCAAGACGGAAAGACCCCGUGAACCUUUACUAUAGCUUGACACUGAACAUUGAGCCUUGAUGUGUAGGAUAGGUGGGAGGCUUUGAAGUGUGGACGCCAGUCUGCAUGGAGCCGACCUUGAAAUACCACCCUUUAAUGUUUGAUGUUCUAACGUGGACCCGUAAUCCGGGUUGCGGACAGUGUCUGG